rnacentral:rRNA from 1 species
GUCUACAGCCAUGCUACCCUGAACGAGCUCAAUCCCAUCUGAUCUUGGAAGCUAAGCAGGGUUGGGCCUGGUUAGUACUUGGAUGGGAGACUACCUACGAAGACCAGGUGCUAUAAAAA